GCGGACGGGUGAGUAACACGUGGAUAACCUACCUAUAAGACUGGGAUAACCUCGGGAAACCGGAGCUAAUACCGGAUAACAUAUUGAACCGCAUGGUUCAAUAGUGAAAGGCGGCUUUGCUGUCACUUAUAGAUGGAUCCGCGCCGUAUUAGCUAGUUGGUAAGGUAACGGCUUACCAAGGCAACGAUACGUAGCCGACCUGAGAGGGUGAUCGGCCACACUGGAACUGAGACACGGUCCAG
rnacentral:rRNA from 1 species